UACGUAGGGUGCAAGCGUUAAUCGGAAUUACUGGGCGUAAAGCGUGCGCAGGCGGUUUUGUAAGUCUGUCGUGAAAUCCCCGGGCUCAACCUGGGAAUUGCGAUGAAGACUGCAAGGCUAGAAUCUGGCAGAGGGGGGUAGAAUUCCACGUGUGAGCAGUGAAAUGCGUAGAGAUGUGGAGGAACACCGAUGGCGAAGGCAGCCCCCUGGG
rnacentral:rRNA from 1 species